UACGUAGGGUGCAAGCGUUAAUCGGAAUUACUGGGCGUAAAGCGUGCGCAGGCGGUUUUGUAAGACAGUGGUGAAAUCCCCGGGCUCAACCUGGGAACUGCCAUUGUGACUGCAAGGCUGGAGUGCGGCAGAGGGGGAUGGAAUUCCGCGUGUAGCAGUGAAAUGCGUAGAUAUGCGGAGGAACACCGAUGGCGAAGGCAAUCCCCUGGGCCUGCACUGACGCUCAUGCACGAAAGCGUGGGGAGCAAACAGGAUUAGAUACCCUGGUAGUCCACUCCCUAAACUAUGUCAACUGGUUGUUGGGGAUUUAUUUCUUCAGUAUCGAAGCUAACGCGUUAAGUUCGCCGCCUGGGGAGUACGGUCGCAAGACUGAA
rnacentral:rRNA from 1 species